UACGUAGGGUGCAAGCGUUAAUCGGAAUUCCUUGGCGUAAAGCGUGCGCAGGCGGUUUUGUAAGUCUGACGUGAAAUCCCCGGGCUCAACCUGGGAAUUGCGUUGGAGACUGCAAGGCUGGAGUCUGGCAGAGGGGGGUAGAAUUCCACGUGUAGCAGUGAAAUGCGUAGAGAUGUGGAGGAACACCGAUGGCGAAGGCAGCCCCCUGGGUCAAGACUGACGCUCAUGCACGAAAGCGUGGGGAGCAAACAGG
rnacentral:rRNA from 1 species